rnacentral:rRNA from 1 species
GAUGAACGCUGGCGGCGUGCCUAAUACAUGCAAGUCGAGCGAACAGACGAGGAGCUUGCUCCUCUGACGUUAGCGGCGGACGGGUGAGUAACACGUGGAUAACCUACCUAUAAGACUGGGAUAACUUCGGGAAACCGGAGCUAAUACCGGAUAAUAUAUUGAACCGCAUGGUUCAAUAGUGAAAGACGGUUUUGCUGUCACUUAUAGAUGGAUCCGCGCCGCAUUAGCUAGUUGGUAAGGUAACGGCUUACCAAGGCGACGAUGCGUAGCCGACCUGAGAGGGUGAUCGGCCUCACUGGAACUGAGACACGGUCCGAAAUCCUAGGGGAGGCAGCGGUAGGGAAUCUUCCGCAAUGGGCGAAAGGCUGACGGAGCAACGCCGCGUGAGUGGUGAAGGUCUUCGGAUCGUGAGACUCUGUUAUUGGGGAAGAACGAAUGUGUAGGUGACUAUGCGCGUCUUGACGGUACCUAAUCAGAAAGCCACGGCUAACUACGUG